AAACCUGGUUGAAACAAGAUUUGCCGUGAGAAGUCAGCAGAAGCCAUAGUACGGAGAUGCCUGGAGCAUCGAAGGAAGGGC
rfam:Bacillus coagulans 36D1, complete genome.